AUACGGAGGGUGCAAGCGUUACUCGGAAUCACUGGGCGUAAAGCGCGCGCAGGCGGUCUUUUAAGUUGGAUGUGAAAGCCUACGGCUCAACCGUAGAACUGCAUCCAAAACUAUUAGACUAGAGUGUGGGAGAGGAAGAUGGAAUUAGUUGUGUAGGGGUAAAAUCCGUAGAGAUAACUAGGAAUACCAAAAGCGAAGGCAAUCUUCUGGAACACUACUGACGCUAAGGCGUGAAAGCGUGGAGAGCAAACAGGAUUAGAAACCCCAGUAGUCC
rnacentral:rRNA from 1 species